GCCUGGAUAGCUCUGUUGGUUAGACUGAGCAUAGUUCUGAUAAUGCUAAGAUUGCAGGUUCAAUCCCUGUAUGGGACA